GGCGGAUGUAGCCGAGUGGAGCAAGGCAGU
rnacentral:tRNA from 1 species